rnacentral:rRNA from 1 species
UCUGGGGGGAGUAUGGUCGCAAGGCUUGAAACUUAAAGAAAUUGACGGAAGGGCACCACAAGGCGUGGAGCCUGCGGCUUGAUUUGACUCAACACGGGGAAACUCACCAGGUCCAGACAAAAUAAGGAUUGACAGAUUGAGAGCUCUUUCUUGAUCUUUUGGAUGGUGGUGCAUGGCCGUUCUUAGUUGGUGGAGUGAUUUGUCUGCUCAAUUGCGAUAACGAACGAGACCUUAACCUGCUAAAUAGCCAGGCUAGCUUUGGCUGGUCGCCGGCUUCUUAGAGGGACUAUCGGCUCAAGCCGAUGGAAGUUUGAGGCAAUAACAGGUCUGUGAUGCCCUUAGAUGUUCUGGGCCGCACGCGCGCUACACUGACAGAGCCAACGAGUUAUUCACCUUGGCCGGAAGGUCUGGGUAAUCUUGUUAAACUCUGUCGUGC